rnacentral:rRNA from 1 species
CACAUGCAAGUCGAACGAGACCGUUCGGGUCUAGUGGCGCACGGGUGCGUAACGCGUGGGAAUCUGCCUUUGCUACGGAAUAACUCAGAGAAAUUUGUGCUAAUACCGUAUAAUGUCGUAAGACCAAAGAUUUAUCGGCAAAGGAUGAGCCCGCGUAAGAUUAGCUUGUUGGUGAGGUAAAGGCUCACCAAGGCGACGAUCUUUAGCUGGUCUGAGAGGAUGAUCAGCCACACUGGGACUGAGACACGGCCCAGACUCCUACGGGAGGCAGCAGUGGGGAAUAUUGGACAAUGGGCGAAAGCCUGAUCCAGCAAUGCCGCGUGAGUGAUGAAGGCCUUAGGGUUGUAAAGCUCUUUUACCAGGGAUGAUAAUGACAGUACCUGGAGAAUAAGCUCCGGCUAACUCCGUG